CUCGCGUUCGUCUUCAGCUCGGUGGUCUAUGGUACCAGCUACCGGUCCAUGAACUCCAUGGCAAAGCCGUCUUUCGCAGAAGACGGCAGCCUUGCCGACGGGGGAAUUGACCUGAAUAUGGAGCAGGGGAUGGCAGAGUGAGUGUCCACACCCGCACGAGUCCAGGCACCUCAAGGACGUGAUCCUGCUGACAGCCAUGGUCCAAGUGUUGAGCUGCUUCUCGCUCUACGUCUGGUACUUCUGGCUCUUGGCUCCGGGACGCGCUCUCUACCUCCUGUGGGUGAACAUCCUGGGGCCCUGGUUCACAGCUGACUCUUCGCCUGCCGGUCAGGAACCAAAUGAGAAGAAGCAACGCCGACAAGAACGCCGCCAGAUGAAGCGCUUCUAGCCCUGGCUGGGGAGAUAGAUUAACGCCUUCUCUCAUCUCCAUGCUGUUAUUUCAUCAGGGAUGCAACCGAAACCAAUCCGGAACCAUCGCAGUAGCUAUGCUGCCCUCUGUCAUUGCUGCCAUUCCGCUAGAAAGGCUGCAAGAGACUUCCCUCGGUUGGUCCUUAGCGCCAGUCGAGGCCUUGCUCCUUGGGAUGACGAGGGGGGGGGGUGUGAUGCUGGGAUGUGUGUAAAUACCUUUUUAAAGCAGCGCUGUAUCGCGUUCGAGGUUGGGGAUUGCGACACUGGAGGGAAUAGCACAUUAAAGAGCAGAGUCUAACUGA